CUGACCAGGAAGUGAUCUUCUGUUUAGAACUGCGAUAUGCAGAAGGUCCGUCUGUCUUCCUUUGAUAUUCACCUGUGAAAAGAAAGUGACAGGGUGAGGAAACAUGGAAUUAAGACGUGUUCAGAGCUGAGAUUCAAGACUGGAACUCUACCAUCACCUUUCCUGGGUCUCCAGCAUGCCUAUUGUAGAUAUUGGGGCUUCUCAGCCCUCAUAACCAUAAUUAUUCAAAGCCUUCAAAGGGUUCUGCAUAGCAAACAACAGACAUGGAACCAUGAACAAGCAAACUAAAGGGAGCCUUAAUACAUUCACCCUAUGUGAGACCAGCCAGAAUGAGGACUCCUCAAGGAC
rnacentral:lncRNA from 10 species